GAUGAAGAACGCAGCGAAAUGCGAUAAGUAAUGUGAAUUGCAGAAUUCAGUGAAUCAUCGAAUCUUUGAACGCACAUUGCGCCCGCUAGUAUUCUGGCGGGCAUGCGUGUCCGAGCGUCAUUUCAACCCUCAAGCCCCCGGGCUUGGUGUUGGGGAUCGGCGAGCCUCCGCGCCCGCCGUCCCCUAAAUCUAGUGGCGGUCUCGCUGUAGCUUCCUCUGCGUAGUAGCACACCUCGCACUGGGAAACAGCGCGGCCACGCCGUUAAACCCCCAACUUCUGAACGUUUGACCUCGAAUCAGGUAGGAAUACCCGCUGAACUUAAGCAUAUCAAUAAGCGGAGGA
rnacentral:misc_RNA from 1 species